UUGACCCUUUCCUGUUACUGAACCUUUUCAGAGGACUAGUGUGAAUGGAAAACAGCAGAUUGGAAGACCACUAGCCAUCAGGUUCAAGAGCACAGAUGGCUGCAAGCAUCUUCCCAAGCAUCCUCUCAAACCUGGAGCCAUCAACAAAUUGAAACCUAUCAAAAUAUCAAGAAUCAGCUUUUACAUUGUGUGAAAGAUCACAGAAAAUGAGGAAAUGAUCAGGUCAAGGGACUAUUUGAAAAGAUUUACUCACAAAAAUCCAAGCAACUACUUCAAGACAUUUUGUAUGGAACUCAAACAUCUUAGUCAAAACAACUCUGAGGUGUGGCUAGUAAAGCAACAUAUAGAAGAAUCCAGCAUCUCUGCAGAGUAUAUUGACAUUUUCUGAGCUUAAGUCCCUGUUCAACAGAAAAGACGGGGGUCGGGGUGUCUGCCUUUCUCCAUUUUCUUAUGCCUCUGCCAGAAUUCAUUGAAGAUGCUUUGUUGCCUGAAAAUGAUUAAACAUAAGAUCAAAUGUUUUGUUUAAUGCAGUAGCGUUCCAUGCCAUACGUGAGUAAUGCAAAAAUGACAAGAUUAAGCAAUGAGCUAGCUCUCAUUAGCAUGUUCUAAGAGGGAAUCUUAACUGUAAUGAAAUAUGCAGAGCUGAAGACUACAGCCAUGUUCAGGCAUUCGCUACGUAAAGCAGCUACAUGUGGAUAAGUGUAACAGGGUAAAAACUGUUUCAUUUAUUGUUUUUCUUUCCCCAAAAAGUUUUAAAUUUCACUAUGGUCCUUUAUGCAAAGCCUUGUACUUUUGUCCCGGUCCCUGGGAAAAGGAG